UAACGAAUUUUCCGCAAUGCGCGAAAGCGUGACGGAGCAAUGCCGCGUGUGGGAUGAAGCGGUUACGCCGUGUAAACCACUGUCAGGACCUAGGAAGAACUGACCGGGUCCAGAGGAAGGGUCGGCUAAUCUCGUGCCAGCAGCCGCGGUAAGACGAGAGACCCGAGCGUUAAUCGGAAUCACUGGGCUUAAAGGGUGCGCAGGCGGAUCGGUAAGCAUCUUGUGAAAUACCACGGCUCAACCGUGGAAUUGCGGGGUGAACUGCCGGUCUUGAGGCAGGUAGAGGUCGUCGGAACGUUCGGUGGAGCGGUGAAAUGCGUAGAUAUCGAACGGAACGCCAAAGGAGAAGUCAGACGACUGGGCCUGUCCUGACGCUCAGGCACGAAAGCGUGGGGAUCAAACAGGAUUAGAUACCCCCGUAGUCC
rnacentral:rRNA from 1 species